UGCCAGCCGCCGCGGUAAUACGGAGGGUGCAAGCGUUAAUCGGAAUUACUGGGCGUAAAGCGCGCGUAGGCGGCUUUGUAAGUCGGAUGUGAAAGCCCUGGCUUAACCUGGGAAUGGCAUUCGAAACUGCAGAGCUAGAGUAUGGUAGAGGGAAGUGGAAUUUCCGGUGUAGCGGUGAAAUGCGUAGAUAUCGGAAGGAACACCAGUGGCGAAGGCAUCUCUCUGGACAGAUAUUGACGCUGAGGUGCGAAAGCGUGGGGAGCAAACAGGAUUAGAUA
rnacentral:rRNA from 1 species